UAGCUAGCUAGUUAACCAACCAGUAACACUCACCUUUGCUUUGAUAAUGAAGAUAUUCCUGUUUUUCACCUCCCAUACUACAGCGUUGUUAACCCAUCCAUUCUUGAAAAAGAGAAAUCUGUACUUUUGUAGGCUCUCAUUUAUUGUGCGGUGUAAGGUGACAGAUUCUCUAUAAGAUGGAUCUAA